rnacentral:tRNA from 1 species
GCCCGAGUUGUCUAAUGGUUAUGACGUUGCUUUCCGGAGGCAGAGGUUGCGGGUUCGAAUCCCGUCUCGGGUU